rnacentral:piRNA from 1 species
UCAUAAAUACGUACUGAAAUA